rnacentral:rRNA from 1 species
CCAGACUCCUACGGGAGGCAGCAGUGGGGAAUAUUGCACAAUGGGGGGAACCCUGAUGCAGCGACGCCGCGUGGGCGAGGAAGUAUUUCGGUAUGUAAAGCCCUAUCGGCAGGGAAGAAGAAAUGACGGUACCUGAAUAAGAAGCACCGGCUAAAUACGUGCCAGCAGCCGCGGUAAUACGUAUGGUGCAAGCGUUAUCCGGAUUUAUUGGGUUUAAAGGGUGCGUAGGCGGAUUUUUAAGUCAGCGGUAAAAUGUCCGGGCUCAACCCGGGCCGGCCGUUGAAACUGGGGAUCUUGAGUGGGCGAGAAGUAUGCGGAAUGCGCGGUGUAGCGGUGAAAUGCAUAGAUAUCGCGCAGAACUCCGAUUGCGAAGGCAGCAUGCCGGCUCCACACUGACGCUGAGGCACGAAAGCGUGGGUAUCGAACAGGAUUAGAUACCCGCGUAC